CAGCCGCCGCGGGAAUACGUAGGGUGCAAGCGUUAUCCGGAAUUAUUGGGCGUAAAGAGCUCGUAGGCGGUUUGUUGCGUCUGCUGUGAAAACUGGAGGCUCAACCUCCAGCCUGCAGUGGGUACGGGCAGACUAGAGUGCGGUAGGGGAGAUUGGAAUUCCUGGUGUAGCGGUGGAAUGCGCAGAUAUCAGGAGGAACACCGAUGGCGAAGGCAGAUCUCUGGGCCGUAACUGACGCUGAGGAGCGAAAGCAUGGGGAGCGAACAGGAUUAGAGACCCGCGUAGUCCCUGUCUCUUAUAC
rnacentral:rRNA from 1 species